rnacentral:lncRNA from 1 species
GUUUCAUCUUCUGGUACUGGAUUUGGUGUGUCAGAUAAAACUUUCUGUUUCUUUAUACAUUUUGGAUAUGCUUGAUACCCGUAUGAAUGAUUUCUACCUGGGAAUGCCACAUCAGUGACAGAAUUAUCAGCAUGUAGGAACAGAAGAAUUCUGGCUCCUUCAGUGUUUACUGAGAAAUUACUCUCAGAUGAGAUUCAGCUCUGAGAGAUACUUCUUGUAUGAGAUUUGCAUUGCCAGGCCUCUGAUGAUCCAGUAAGGGCUAAGAUUUAGGAAAUGAUGAUGCUUGAGGAAGGUUAGGAAAAUCAUGAACUUCACAUCACUUCUGCAGAAAUGUUACCCCAGUGGUCACCUCAAGAUUGCAUGGUGGUAAGGAGUAGCCCAAAGAGUCUGACAGUGCUGUUAGUGGAAUUUGCAUCCAAGUACUACAGCCAUGCUUCCUCUCUGCAUCCUGAGAAGCUGACAAUGGAGCAGACCACUUCCCUGAGCUUAUGGUAUUGUAAAGCCAACUGUUUACUCAUUUCAUUUGGAUUGUUGGUUACUCAUGUAAGUGAUGAGACUGAAAUUCACAUUUAGCUAUAUUCUGGAUUUUCUGAAGUUAUUACACCUAAGUACAUUACUGGAUUACUGACUGCUUCAUUUGACAUCAGGUUAUGUCUUUUCACAAAAGUAAUAAAAAUGUUGUUUAUAUGAUCUGCA